UUUUGGCAGGCUUCAAUUGAUGUGCUACAAGUAUUUGUGGGACAAUUUAGUUGCUGAUAAUUUUCCUUCUAAUAUUUUUUUCACUUAUUUUGGCUUAAACCCUCAACAUAAUCUAUGUGAAGAUCUAAAAGUGACAAGUGCUGACUCUGAAUUUUCUGCUUCGACUCUAGAUGAUGUGGUAAGAUAUUACAGAAAUACAUGUAGGAUGCCGGCCCCUGCUCAUGAUCGGCUCUUGUUGAGGUAUGCAUCUCUGAGCCAACUCGUGAUAGCUUUCAAUAAAUAUGAUUUUUGAGUGGAAUGUUUAUAAUAUUCACCCCUAUUCAAUUUAAAUUUCUGAAGAAGUGUACUACUUACUGACUCACCUAAUCACAUGCAUGCACACACAUUUUGAGUAAAGGCAGUAAUGAUUGCUUAUUUUGAGUAAAAAGCUUGAAAGUUUGACCCAAUUUUUGAAAGGCAAGAAAUAGUGAUAGGUCAUAAUGUUAAUAAAUUUGCCCGUCAGAAUGACUAGCAGUUUGUUUGCAGUACAUGAGACCUUAUUCUAUGGUUGUGGGUGCUCCAUGUCAGAUAUGAGUAUCAGAAAGAUCAUUCAUGCUUGGUGAAAUAAAUUCACAUAUGAUCAUGACUGGCUAACGAAUCAAAUUCACUCCUGUCUUGAGUUUUGGCUUGGAGAACAAGAAGCAACUUACCCUCCUGAAGAUGAACGCUGGAAAUGUGGUUACUGUCAAUUUGCUCCUGUCUGUCUGCAUACAAUGAUAGUAAAGGAACGAUGGGACCUAAAAGCAAUGAUUUAAACAUCAAAGAAGGCUAGAUAUCAUCAUGUAGACUCUCUAAUGUUAUUGUUACCUGCAUCAAUAAUGGUGAAAGCCUUCCAUAAGAAAAGCUUGGUAUUUUACCAGAGCUUGCGGUAAAAGCCUGAGUAGGUUUACAGUAGGCAUUAUUUUAUUCAUGUACACUGUUGUUGUAAGUUGUAACCGCAUGUCAAUUAUUUGGCAGCUAUCUAUUACAUUCUCAUCUUGUA